CAGCUGAUGUUCGCGACACCGUUAAAGCUGCUGACAUACGCGUCUGUUUUGGGCGGGAUCCAUUUGACUGAAGCGAAAAAAAACUACAUAUAUAAAGUGCAUCAAAAAGUUGUUCGUAUUUGCCGGCUCAGCCGACGAGAAAUUGCCCAAUUGUUGAGUCUCUGGAGCAAAAACUAACCAUGUGGAAUUCAAGCGGGCGCCUUCAACUGUCUGAGGCCCGCGACAUUUGCAUAAGCGGACAUGGGCCUAAUUAACAUGGAUUUGAGCAACUGAUGAAAUUGCCGCAACUUCAGUCCAAGUUGUUAGAACCGUUCGUCGUAAUGCGUCUGCUGCCAUCCCAGUUGUUGUUUUAGCUACGCCCCAGCUCAAAUCCAGAACAGCAACAGCGCGACAGCUCAAGCUCAGAUAUUUAUGAAUGCACGUUUGUUAUCAACGUGCUCGGGACCGAGUGCGGCCACGUUUUCUGCCGCGGUUGACGCAACGUGACCAAGAAAUGUCCUUUUAUGUAACGAGAAACUGAUACUGCGUAGGACUUCUUGUAUUUAUUUUUAAAUCGGCUACCCCUUUCCCCUUGCCACCUUCUUGAUGGCAGCAGGAUGUGUAUAGAGAUUUAGCUGCAAUGUAUUUGAAAUGUUUUGAACGAGAAAGAUGGCACACCGAAGAUUUAAUACCCUUGCAGAACGAACCUUAUUCGUAAUUCUCAUAAUGUUUUGCUCGAAGCUAAGAGGCACAGGAAAAAUAGUUAAUAAACAAGUUUUUUAUGCAAGAA